rnacentral:rRNA from 1 species
UACGUAGGUGGCAAGCGUUGUCCGGAUUUACUGGGCGUAAAGGGCGUGCAGGCGGUUUGUUAAGUCUAGGGUGAAAGCUCCCGGCUCAACUGGGAGAGGUCCUUGGAUACUGGCGAACUUGAGGGAUGCAGAGGAAAGUGGAAUUCCCGGUGUAGUGGUGAUAUGCGUAGAUAUCGGGAGGAACACCAGUGGCGAAGGCGGCUUUCUGGGCAUUUCCUGACGCUGAGGCGCGAAAGCUAGGGGAGCGAACAGG